GACUUUUUAACUAUAUAAGUAUAUAUUUUGAAAAUAUAAAAAAGAGAACCCUCUAUUAGUCU
rnacentral:tRNA from 1 species